rnacentral:rRNA from 1 species
CACGAACCGUACGAACGUUAUUCGGAAUUACUGGGCUUAAAGGGUUUGUAGGCGGCCUUGUAAGUCAGGUGUGAAAUCCCUCGGCUCAACCGAGGAAUAGCGCUUGAUACUGCAAGGCUUGAGGGAGACAGGGGUAAGCGGAACUGAUGGUGGAGCGGUGAAAUGCGUUGAUAUCAUCAGGAACACCGGUGGCGAAAGCGGCUUACUGGGUCUCUUCUGACGCUGAGGAACGAAAGCUAGGGGAGCGAACGGG